rnacentral:rRNA from 1 species
CCCUUAGACGUUCUGGGCCGCACACGCGCUACACUGAAGGAGGCAGCGUGUACUCCUGGAUCGAAAGAUUUGGGUAACCCGCGAAUCUCCUUCGUGCUAGGGAUUGAGGUUUGCAAUUAUCCUUCAUGAACGAGGAAUUCCCAGUAAGUGCAAGUCAUAAGCUUGCGCUGACUACGUCCCUGCCCUUUGUACACACCGCCCGUCGCUACUACCGAUUGAAUGAUUUAGUGAGGACUUCGGACUGGGACCGAUGCGGCUUUCGGGCUGCGUCGGUAUUCUGGAAAGAUGUCCAAACUGUAUCAUUUAGAGGAAGUAAAAGUCGUAACA